CCUGGGUCCACAAAUCAUUGCAUUGAUACAAUAGGGUACAAUAAAAUACAAAAACAAUAUUAAUACACAAUAUGUACAAAUAUAACCUAGAACAGGUAGGAAAUAUAUAAUCAACCAUGACACGUGCAUUCUGCUUUGAGGUAUGUAGAGAGGGAUUUCUUAAAGGACUUUAGGCUUGGGGAAGAUUUUAAAUCAAGCAUAUCGUAUACAUGAUUUAUUUACUAUUUGUUUACAUUGUGA